rnacentral:rRNA from 1 species
AUCGGUUCGCGGCGGGGGACAAAGGCGCCGGGAACGUGGCUCCUCCGGGAGUGUUAUAGCCCGGCGCGCAAUGCCCCGCGGCGGACCGAGGUUCGCGCUCCGCAAGGAUGCUGGCGUAAUGGUCACCAGCGACCCGUCUUGAAACACGGACCAAGGAGUCGUCUUCGUAUGCGAGUGUUCGGGUGUCAAACCCCUACGCGUAAUGAAAGUGAACGCAGGUGAGAGCUUCGGCGCAUCAUCGACCGAUCCUGAUGUUCUCGGAUGGAUUUGAGUAAGAGCAUACGGGGCCGGACCCGAAAGAAGGUGAACUAUGCCUGUAUAGGGUGAAGCCAGAGGAAACUCUGGUGGAGGCUCGCAGCGGUUCUGACGUGCAAAUCGAUCGUCAAAUAUGGGCAUGGGGGCGAAAGACUAAUCGAACCUUCUAGUAGCUGGUU